rnacentral:lncRNA from 1 species
ACUCAAAUUGGUCAAAGGAGGAAUUUUACCAAAUUAAGAUCAUUCAUUCAUUUUGGGAGAUGGAAUGUACAUUCCAUCAAUCCCCUAAAUCCAAUGAUCUUAACCUAAAGGGGAAUAGAUCAAAACUCAAAUUGGUCAAAGGAGGAAUUUUACCAAAUUAAGAUCAUUCAUUCAUUUUGGGAGAUGGAAUGUACAUUCCAUCAAUCCCCUAAAUCCAAUGAUCUUAACCUAGUAAAGUCAAAUCAACUUUGACCAAGGCCCAACAACACAAGUCAAACUUAUACAAAUCAUCAAUAUAGCUC